UCUUGUGGCACAGACAGCCUGCUAUAAACGUAUGGAUAGGCCCGUCCACCAGCAAGGUAAAACAUGUGGAACCCGGUGUAAGAAGUGUGAACUGUGAAGGAUCCCAAACACCCUGCAAGGAUACUUGUAGUUUAAGGGAAGUCGUAUUCCAGGGAAAUGACACCAGCUUACAAUUUGGGAAAUGGUUGUUUUUUACUCACCAUCAAUAUUUCACCGCCAUUGCCCACAACAUGAAAGGAUAUAUUGGGUAAACGUGGAGGAAGGAUCAUUAUUGGGGUCAGUAAUGGGCAUUUAUUGUAAGUAUGAGAGAUAAUGUACUGAAGUUUUAUUUAAAAACUUGUAUAUUUUCCCGAGAAAGCCGAUGAGCCGACGAUACUCCCGACAACCGACAAAGGCGGACACUGCGACACAAAUCUACUCACGCAUGACGAUAUAAAGUAGAAUGUGGAUCAAAUGAAAGGAUAAGUGAUUUGUCUUUGCCUUAAUAAUUCAAUAUUAACAACACGUCGGAGUUGGCUUCCGAUUUAUAGAUCGGUUUUGAUUAAUCUUAAAGGAGUUCUCUGAGUACGGAUAAUUUGAACAAAUAGUUUGUGCACAAAUUUUGAAUCAGUAUUGUUUACAACGAUUAUUGACAUUAUCAAAAUGUGUUUAAAUGACUUCCUACAGGUAUUUGAUGUUUCUAUUAUUCUUAGUGGUACCCUUUCAGUAUUUAUUCAAACACACGGGCAAUAUCUGUUUUGGCAAAUUCAUCGUUUGGAUGGUUAUAAUAUGUAUCGCGUAAUUGUCCCUUUAAAACUUAUUUUUCUAAGAUGUUUUGGUGUAUAACAGCUUGAUGCUCAGUUAAGUCUUUUCUGGUUGAGCCAAAAAUCUAUAGCUAUUUAUUUACGAAUUCCACUGACUUGAUACAUUGAACUUAAAUUUUGUUCAAACCACUUUAUAGAACGAAAAUGACAUUGCUGGAUUGUUUUGCCUAUCUAAAUUUGUUUUGACUUUUUCGAGCCGGUAGGGUAAAGCUCUCUGUCGCUGCGGGUGAGAAUUUGGGUUAGUGGGGGGUUAAUUGUAAUUUAUGACGGACUCCCUGAUCCCUGUCCUGGAUUUAAAUAUACCUUGUUUGACUUCUAGUUCAAUACAUCGUCUGGCAUGAACGUAUCUGUCCCGGGGAGUAGGGAUGUAAUAUUGUCACUUUGACUAAAGCUAGGCACGCCUGUCCGGCUUAGACUAAUGUUUUUUCUUACUUUAAGAUAAACAAAUGUACUGUAAAUUUGAUUACUGAAUAAAUAGAGAUAGAUCAACUUUUAUCACUUU